rnacentral:rRNA from 1 species
GACGAACGCUGGCGGCGUGCUUAACACAUGCAAGUCGAACGGAAAGGCCCUGCUUUUGUGUGGUGCUCGAGUGGCGAACGGGUGAGUAACACGUGAGUAACCUGCCCUUGACUUUGGGAUAACUUCAGGAAACUGGGGCUAAUACCUGAUAGGAGCUCCUGCUGCAUGGUGGGGGUUGGAAGUUUCGGCGGUUGGGGAUGGACUCGCGGCUUAUCAGCUUGGUGGUGGGGUAGUGUCUUACCAAGGCUUUGACGGGUAGCCGGCCUGAGAGGGUGAGCGGCCACAUUGGGACUGAGAUACGGCACAGACUCCUACGGGAGGCAGCAGUGGGGAAUAUUGCACAAAGGGCGGAAGCCUGAUGCAGAAACGCCGCGUGCGGGAUGAAGGCCUUCGGGUUGUAAACCGCUUUAGCCUGUGACGAAGCGUGAGUGACGGUAAUGGGUAAAGAAGCACCGGCUAACUACGUG